AACGAACGCUGGCGGCAUGCCUAACACAUGCAAGUCGAACGAGAACUUCGGGUCUAGUGGCGCACGGGUGCGUAACGCGUGGGAAUCUGCCCUUUGGUUCGGAAUAACAGUUGGAAACGACUGCUAAUACCGGAUGAUGACGAAAGUCCAAAGAUUUAUCGCCAGAGGAUGAGCCUGCGUAGGAUUAGCUAGUUGGUGUGGUAAAGGCGCACCAAGGCGACGAUCCUUAGCUGGUCUGAGAGGAUGAUCAGCCACACUGGGACUGAGACACGGCCCAGACUCCUACGGGAGGCAGCAGUGGGGAAUAUUGGACAAUGGGCGGAAGCCUGAUCCAGCAAUGCCGCGUGAGUGAUGAAGGCCUUAGGGUUGUAAAGCUCUUUUACCCGGGAUGAUAAUGACAGUACCGGGAGAAUAAGCUCCGGCUAACUCCGUGCCAGCCGCCGCAGUAA
rnacentral:rRNA from 1 species